CACGUAGGGGGCAAGCGUUGCCCGGAUUCAUUGGGCGUAAAGAGCUCGUAGGCGGUUCGAUAAGUCGGGUGUGAAACCUCCAGGCUCAACCUGGGAGACGCCACCCGAUACUGUCGUGACUAGAGUCCAGUAGGGGAGCGUGGAAUUCCUGGUGUAGCGGUGAAAUGCGCAGAUAUCGAGGAGGAACACCGGUGGCGAAGGCGGGUCUCUGGACCGAUACUGACACUGGAGGAGCGAAAGCGUGGGGAGCGAACAGG
rnacentral:rRNA from 1 species